AAAUAUAAAUAUGAUUAAUAAAUAUGUUAAUAGGAGCUAUGCGUAUUACGGACGAUAAAGUAACUGACAAAGACAUGAUACAAAACAUAUCUAAAUGGCUCGUACAAGCCACAUUAAGAUAUGAACGCAGCCUCGAACCAAAGAAAACUAAAUAUCAGAAUAAGACGGCAAAUGACGACAAAUAAUAUAUUUAACUUAUAUAUAUAUUUUAUAUAUAUUUCUUUUUAAUUAUAAAUGAGGUAAGCAAUAUGCGACCAUUCUGCAAUAGCGUAGUUGUAAAAUAUUGCAAGGCACAGUUACAAGUCCAUUUUUAUUAACGAAAAUAGAAUAGUAUCGUAACUUCCUUAUAUAUUA